rnacentral:tRNA from 1 species
GGGGAUUUAGCUCAGUUGGUAGAGCGCCUGCCUAGGAAGCGCAAGGCCCUGGGUUCGGUCCCCAGCUCCG